GAGCAUGUCUUCAAGUUUUUCAUUUAUUUUUAUGUAUAACAGAAACUGAUAAGAAUUGUAGUUGAAAGGGAGAAAAAUGAUGAGUGCAGAAUAAAAGUUUGUUCCUGAGAUUCCCUUUGCAGCAGCACAAGCUGCAAUCAUUUUGACAGAGGAUUUAAAGAGACACGGAAAAGGAAUGUGGGAAGUAUUUUUCCCUCCAGUUCUUUUUAACACAAGAAAGAAAACUGGUUUCUAUGCUAGAAUUUUUUUUUCAGCUAUUCUUUUCUUGAUUUUUAAUCAAAAGAAUUAAGAAAAUAAGUCUGAAAAACUGAGAGGAGGAAUUGCUUGCCCUGUUUUAAAACAUUUUGGUUUUUUGCAUUGCCUAUUGUUGCAUCAUGUCCUCUCAAAUACAUUGUCAGGUAGCUGAGGAAAAACAGUCUAAUGAUUGGUUUCACUGCUGAAGGCCAAAUAUUCCCUAUGAAGGACAUGCUGAAACCUCCCCCAGCACCUGACAUUUGGAUAUGUUCACAGUGGUAAUAACAUCCAAGACUUUGUUUUAUUUGUUGAGGGAAAAUGUUACUCAGUAAUAUUCUGUCCUUCAUGCUUUACUUACAUAUUUGAAGAAGGAAUCAAAUAACCAGUAUAAAGAGCCUGCACUAUCUGUAUAAAAAUUACAAGUGUUUACCUGGCUUUUCUUACUGUCCUUCAGCAGGUGUUAGGUGCCUGGAUUUCUGUCAGCUGCCUUGGGUAAAAAGGGUCAGCUGUGAGCAGCCUAUCCUGAGCAGGCCUCAUGAGCAUUACAUUGGCUGCUGCCUUCUGUUUCUGAGGAGAGAACAUGCUAGAUUUAUUGCAAGUGAUAGGUGACUCUCAUACUCCUCAUUUUUCUUGAGGAUGGAUUUGGAUUCUGUACUGUAUCCCAGGGAGGAAACAUGCUAUAAAAUACUGGAUUCAGCUGAGAUGGCAGGUGUUCAGAGUUAAUGAAAAGAAAGCAAUCAACCAGCAAACAUUCAUCAUACAAGUCUGGUACAAACUGGGACUGAGAAGCCCGUUGCACAAGGAAGCAGGCAUCCAUGUUUCUCACAGCCCUUGCAUAAAGGAUAUACAGUUGCUAACAAAUAGUGGAGGAAGAACUCUGA
rnacentral:lncRNA from 1 species